GCCCGCCUAGCUCAAUCGGAUAGAGCGUCAGACUCUUACAAUAGGCGUGGAGUUCGCACAAUGUGUGUAAUCUGAAGGCUGCGAGUUCGACCCUCGCGGUGGGCU